AACGAACGCUGGCGGCAGGCUUAACACAUGCAAGUCGAACGCCCCGCAAGGGGAGUGGCCGACGGGUGAGUAACGCGUGGGAAUCUACCCAUCCCUACGGAAUAACGCAUGGAAACGUGUGCUAAUACCGUAUACGCCCUACGGGGGAAAGAUUUAUCGGGGAUGGAUGAGCCCGCGUUGGAUUAGCUAGUUGGUGGGGUAAAGGCCUACCAAGGCGACGAUCCAUAGCUGGUCUGAGAGGAUGAUCAGCCACAUUGGGACUGAGACACGGCCCAAACUCCUACGGGAGGCAGCAGUGGGGAAUAUUGGACAAUGGGCGCAAGCCUGAUCCAGCCAUGCCGCGUGAGUGAUGAAGGCCUUAGGGUUGUAAAGCUCUUUCACCGGAGAAGAUAAUGACGGUAUCCGGAGAAGAAGCCCCGGCUAACUUCGUG
rnacentral:rRNA from 1 species